AACCUCGUCCUAGUUGCUAACGGUUCGGCCGAGCACUCUAGGGAGACUGCCUUCGCAAGGAGGAGGAAGGUGAGGACGACGUCAAGUCAUCAUGGCCCUUACGGCCAGGGCUACGCACGUGCUACAAUGGGGCGUACAGAGAGCUGCGAUACCGCGAGGUGGAGCCAAUCUCUUAAAGCGUCUCUCAGUUCGGAUUGUUCUCUGCAACUCGAGAACAUGAAGCUGGAAUCACUAGUAAUCGCAGAUCAGCUAUGCUGCGGUGAAUACGUUCCCGGGUCUU
rnacentral:rRNA from 1 species